rnacentral:rRNA from 1 species
UACGUAGGGUGCAAGCGUUAAUCGGAAUUACUGGGCGUAAAGCGUGCGCAGGCGGUUUUGUAAGUCUGUCGUGAAAUCCCCCGGGCUCAACCUGGGAAUUGCGAUGGAGACUGCAAGGCUAGAAUCUGGCAGAGGGGGGGUAGAAUUCCACGUGUAGCAGUGAAAUGCGUAGAGAUGUGGAGGAACACCGAUGGCGAAGGCAGCCCCCUGGGUCAAGAUUGACGCUCAUGCACGAAAGCGUGGGGAGCAAACAGG